AUUGAACGCUGGCGGCAGGCCUAACACAUGCAAGUCGAGCGGAUGAGGGGAGCUUGCUCCCUGAUUUAGCGGCGGACGGGUGAGUAAUGCCUAGGAAUCUGCCUGGUAGUGGGGGAUAACGUUCCGAAAGGAACGCUAAUACCGCAUACGUCCUACGGGAGAAAGCGGGGGAUCUUCGGGCCUCGCGCUAUCAGAUGAGCCUAGGUCGGAUUAGCUAGUUGGUGAGGUAAAGGCUCACCAAGGCGACGAUCCGUAACUGGUCUGAGAGGAUGAUGAGUCACACUGGAACUGAUACCCGUUCCAGACGCCUACGGAAGGCAGCAGUGGGGAAGAUUGCACAAUGGGCGAAAGCCUGGUCCAGCCAUGCCGCGUGUGUGAAGAAGGUCUUCUGAUUGUAAAGCACUUUAAGUUGGGAGGAAGGGUUGUAGAUUAAUACUCUGCAAUUUUGACGUUACCGACAGAAUAAGCACCGGCUAACUUCGUGCCAGCCGCCGCAGUAAUAC
rnacentral:rRNA from 1 species